GGUCAUGAGAUUCUAGUAUUCCAUUUGUUGUACAGGAUACAAAUCAUAGUAGCAGAGUGUCCUGUAUUUUCACAAGAUUAUAUAACAGUGAAGAGCAAAGCAUGAUAAAAGAAGGUAUAGAAUUGGAACAUGACAAGGUUGAGAAAAAUGAUGGACCAUCAUGUUGACAGAGA